GCACUCCAUACGACUUGGCACGAUUUUAGCGUUAGUCCGUGUUAUCGCCCCGAUCGGAGACGGUUCGUCGAGAUCGCAGCAGUCUGCUCGCACGAGCAGGAGCCGGGGUCGGAGCCGGGGUCGGAGUCGCAGCAGGAGCCGGAGCACACGCACACGCACUCACCUUCGCGCGACUGCUAACCGGAGGCUGAAGCGAAGCGCGGACGGACACUACGGAUCCGCAGAACCGCGUGGAAGCGAGACCGAACGGCACGGCGUGCUUCCGGGACGUUAGAGGCGUCGAGACGCCCAGCAUGAACGCGUAGACGAGGAGCAUGGCGAUCGCUAGCCACAAGCACCACAACCCCCAACCCAGAUAGCGAGUGUAAGCCAGUUUACCGGUCGACGAGUUGCCGGCUGUAUCAGCAAAAAAUAAUGUUUUCUCCGUAAUCGCAAGCGUUCGCGUAAUAUCGUAGAUACGAAACGAAGAUGGCGCCUAGGAGAAAAUCGUUCGCGUGGCAAAUAGAUUUCUAGCCGGCUUUGGCAUCGAUACGUUUAUUCGUGUUCGCACGAGUAUCCGCUCUGCCUAGCGAGGAUAAUUAUCUCGACGCGAGCCGAGUUUCUCGAAGCGUUUACUCCUCCCGAAAGUCACCUUCGCUAAACCGAACGGUCGAAUAAGCAGGCAAUGAGACACGUGCGACGACGAGUCUACUCGCAACACGGAUAGCCUGUCGUCUCCUGUCGCAGUCUGUGGUGAGAAGCUACUACAAUGGGAAAAAAGCGGGGCAACGAACGGCUGAAAUACGGCUGAAAUACGGCUGAAAUACGGAUGAAAAGCGGGAACGAAAGACGACGGCGACGAUCACUGGAGUAAAAACGGAAACGACGACGAUAUACGCGGUUCUACACGUUCCAGCACAAGUUCCGCAAGAUGAACGGCGUAUGCACACUCGGUGUGGUAACGCGUGCGAGCAAACAUGCGCGUUUGUUGCCGUUACACGGGGUACCGUUGCGUUACGAGAGGUUCGCGCUAGCCGCGUCUCUCGCUCUCCCGGUGAGAGAGCUCCGAUCUAUUAAUAAAAAGCAGCCGGCAGACCGACCGCCGUGCGAGACGAGCCGAGGAAAACACGUCCGAGGGACGAAAACGCGUGCACGAGGCUGCUCGAUAAACUACGUUUCGUAAGUGUCGUAACGGAUUUUCCAUCGCGAGCGAGUCGGCGUACAACCAAAACGGGCACCUUUCGACGCGUAUCGUUUUCCCGCGGCUUCUCGUCGCAUGCUAAACAUUCCGGGAAUUCGAAAACUUGUCGCGCGAGAAUAUUUCGCUCGUUUCACCGGUUCCAAAUACUUUUGUAAGAUCUAGUUUCGCGAGCGCGCGCCAAGGACGCAACUGUCUCAUGCCCAUCGACGCCGCAUGCUUUUUCGGCUGUACGCGACAGCUACGCGUUUCGAAUCUUUCGUUCCGGGUGCUAUCGAGGCCUUGGUCGGACGCGCGGUGUUCCGUUUCCAAACUAACGGGUUGUCGCUUUGUCUCGCGAUGCCCGAUCCGGUAAAUAGCACGCGAGGGUGGAAGUAGAACACCACUGGUGGAACGUCGUCCCUGCCCUAGAAUAAACGAUAACGUUGUCGAGCGAA